GUUGGAAAAUUAUGGCAAUACGUAAAAAUUAAGAGCCUUCUUUAAGAAGGACUCUUCCUUUCACAUGCCAAAAAUAAAGGGGGCAGCAUUAAUUUUUUGCAUGGAUUUUGGUGGGGAUAGAGGAGUCCUUCUCCACUUGCAACUGGUCUAAGUUGGAUAAGGAUCCAAUCCAAAUUGACCCAAUCCCAUUAGGUCAAAAGGCAACUGGUCUAGAUUAGCUCAAACACUU
rnacentral:lncRNA from 1 species